AGUGAACGCUGGCGGUAGGCCUAACACAUGCAAGUCGAACGGCAGCACAGUAAGAGCUUGCUCUUACGGGUGGCGAGUGGCGGACGGGUUAGGAAUACAUCGGAAUCUACUUUUUCGUGGGGGAUAACGUAGGGAAACUUACGCUAAUACCGCAUACGACCUACGGGUGAAAGCAGGGGAUCUUCGGACCUUGCGCGAUUGAAUGAGCCGAUGUCGGAUUAGCUAGUUGGCGGGGUAAAGGCCCACCAAGGCGACGAUCCGUAGCUGGUCUGAGAGGAUGAUCAGCCACACUGGAACUGAGACACGGUCCAGACUCCUACGGGAGGCAGCAGUGGGGAAUAGUGGACAAUGGGCGCAAGACUGAUCCAGCCAUACAGCGUGGGUGAAGAAGGCCUGCGGGUUGUAAAGCCCUUUUGUUGGGAAAGAAAAGCAGCAGGUUAAUACCACGCUGUUCUGACGGUACCCAAAGAAUAAGCACCGGCUAACUUCGUG
rnacentral:rRNA from 1 species